ACGUAGGGUGCAAGCGUUGUCCGGAAUUAUUGGGCGUAAAGAGCUCGUAGGCGGUUUGUCGCGUCUGCUGUGAAAACCCAGGGCUUAACCCUGGGCCUGCAGUGGGUACGGGCAGACUAGAGUGCGGUAGGGGAGAUCGGAAUUCCUGGUGUAGCGGUGAAAUGCGCAGAUAUCAGGAGGAACACCGAUGGCGAAGGCAGCUCGCUGGGACGGUACUGACGCUGAGGCGCGAAAGCUAGGGGAGCAAACGGGA
rnacentral:rRNA from 1 species